rnacentral:rRNA from 1 species
GGGAGCCCUAGCACAGGUGCUGCAUGGCCGUCGUCAGCUCGUGCCGUGAGGUGUUGGGUUAAGUCCCGCAACGAGCGCAACCCCCGCCGUUAGUUGCCAGCGGUUCGGCCGGGCACUCUAACGGGACUGCCCGCGAAAGCGGGAGGAAGAGGGGACGACGUCUGGUCAGCAUGGCCCUUACGGCCUGGGCGACACACGUGCUACAAUGCCCACUACAAAGCGAUGCCACCCGGCAACGGGGAGCUAAUCGCAAAAAGGUGGGCCCAGUUCGGAUUGGGGUCUGCAACCCGACCCCAUGAAGCCGGAAUCGCUAGUAAUCGCGGAUCAGCCAUGCCGCGGUGAAUACGUUCCCGGGCCUU